GAUGAACGCUGGCAGCGUGCCUAAUACAUGCAAGUCGAGCGAACAGAUGAGGAGCUUGCUCCUCUGACGUUAGCGGCGGACGUGUGAGUAACACGUGGAUAACCUACCUAUAAGACUGGGAUAACUUCGGGAAACCGGAGCUAAUACCGGAUAAUAUAUUGAACCGCAUGGUUCAUUAGUGAAAGACGGUUUUGCUGUCUCUUAUAGAUGGAUCCGCGCCGCAUUAGCUAGUUGGUAAGGUAACGGCUUACCAAGGCAACGAUGCGUAGCCGACCUGAGAGGGGGAUCGGCAACAAUGGAACUGAGAAACGGUCCAGAGUCCUACGGGAGGCAGCAGUAGGGAAUCUUCCGCAAUGGGCGAAAGCCUGACGGAGCAACGCCGCGUGAGUGAUGAAGGUCUUCGGAGCGUAAAACUCUGUUAUUAGGGAAGAACAAAUGUGUAAGUAACUAUGCACGUCUUGACGGUACCUAAUCAGAAAGCCACGGCUAACUACGUG
rnacentral:rRNA from 1 species